AACGAACGCUGGCGGCAUGCCUAACACAUGCAAGUCGAACGAGACCUUCGGGUCUAGUGGCGCACGGGUGCGUAACGCGUGGGAACCUGCCCUUAGGUUCGGAAUAACUCCCCGAAAGGGGUGCUAAUACCGGAUAAAUGUCUUCGGACCAAAGAUUUAUCGCCUUUGGAUGGGCCCGCGUUGGAUUAGCUAGUUGGUAGGGUAAAAGCCUACCAAGGCGACGAUCCAUAGCUGGUCUGAGAGGAUGAUCAGCCACACUGGGACUGAGACACGGCCCAGACUCCUACGGGAGGCAGCAGUGGGGAAUAUUGGACAAUGGGCGAAAGCCUGAUCCAGCAAUGCCGCGUGAGUGAUGAAGGCCUUAGGGUUGUAAAGCUCUUUUACCCGGGAUGAUAAUGACAGUACCGGGAGAAUAAGCUCCGGCUAACUCCGUG
rnacentral:rRNA from 1 species